GAGUUUGAUCUGGCUCAGGAUGAACGCUAGCUACAGGCUUAACACAUGCAAGUCGAGGGGCAGCGGGGUUGAAGCUUGCUUCAACCGCCGGCGACCGGCGCACGGGUGAGUAACACGUAUCCAACCUGCCGAUAACUCCGGGAUAGCCUUUCGAAAGAAAGAUUAAUACCGGAUGGCAUAGUUUUCCCGCAUGGAAUAACUAUUAAAGAAUUUCGGUUAUCGAUGGGGAUGCGUUCCAUUAGGCAGUUGGCGGGGUAACGGCCCACCAAACCGACGAUGGAUAGGGGUUCUGAGAGGAAGGUCCCCCACAUUGGAACUGAGACACGGUCCAAACUCCUACGGGAGGCAGCAGUGAGGAAUAUUGGUCAAUGGACGAGAGUCUGAACCAGCCAAGUAGCGU
rnacentral:rRNA from 1 species